UGCUGGAUAGCUCAGGGGUAGAGCGCACGACUGAUAAUCGUGUGGUCGCGAGUUCAAAUCUCGCUCCAGCAACCA
rnacentral:tRNA from 1 species